GAUGAACGCUGGCGGCGUGCCUAAUACAUGCAAGUCGAGCGAACAGACUAGGAGCUUGCUCCUCUUACGUUAGCGGCGGACGGGUGAGUAACACGUGGAUAACCUACCUAUAAGACUGGGAUAACUUCGGGAAACCGGAGCUAAUACCGGAUAAUAUCUUUAACCGCAUGGUUCAAUAGUGAAAGACGGUUUUGCUGUCACUUAUAGAUGGAUCCGCGCCGCAUUAGCUAGUUGGUAAGGUAACGGCUUACCAAGGCAACGAUGCGUAGCCGACCUGAGAGGGUGAUCGGCCACACUGGAACUGAGACAAGGUCCAGACUCCUACGGGAGGAAGAAGUGGGGAAUAUUGAACAAUGGAGGGAACUCUGAUGCAGCGACGCCGCGUGAGCGAUGAAGGAAUGCGUUUCGUAAAGCUCUGUUCUAUGGGAAGAAAAGGACUGUACCAUAGGAGAAAGCCCCGGCUAAAUACGUG
rnacentral:rRNA from 1 species